rnacentral:rRNA from 1 species
UGGGGAAUAUUGCACAAUGGGCGCAAGCCUGAUGCAGCCAUGCCGCGUGUGUGAAGAAGGCCUUCGGGUUGUAAAGCACUUUCAGCGCGGAGGAAGGGUAGUGUGUUAAUAGCACAUUGCAUUGACGUUACUCGCAGAAGAAGCACCGGCUAACUCCGUGCCAGCAGCCGCGGUAAUACGGAGGGUGCAAGCGUUAAUCGGAAUUACUGGGCGUAAAGCGCACGCAGGCGGUUUGUUAAGUCAGAUGUGAAAUCCCCGCGCUUAACGUGGGAACUGCAUUUGAAACUGGCAAGCUAGAGUCUUGUAGAGGGGGGUAGAAUUCCAGGUGUAGCGGUGAAAUGCGUAGAGAUCUGGAGGAAUACCGGUGGCGAAGGCGGCCCCCUGGACAAAGACUGACGCUCAGGUGCGAAAGCGUGGGGAGCAAACA